rnacentral:rRNA from 1 species
GAUGAACGCUGGCGGCGUGCCUAAUACAUGCAAGUCGAGCGAAUGGAUUAAGAGCUUGCUCUUAUGAAGUUAGCGGCGGACGGGUGAGUAACACGUGGGUAACCUGCCCAUAAGACUGGGAUAACUCGGGAAACCGGGCUAAUACCGGAUAAUAUUUUGAACUGCAUGGUUCGAAAUUGAAAGGCGGCUUCGGCUGUCACUUAUGGAUGGACCCGCGUCGCAUUAGCUAGUUGGUGAGGUAACGGCUCACCAAGGCAACGAUGCGUAGCCGACCUGAGAGGGUGAUCGGCCACACUGGGGACUGAGACAGGCCCAGACUCCACGGGAGGCAGCAGUUAGGGAAUCUUCCGCAAUUGGACGAAAGUCUGACGGAGCAACGCCGCGUGAGU